AUAUGUGAUCAUCUACCUGGGUUGCUUAAGAUGGAGGUCAACAGGAUUACCUGAUCCCCCAUUUUUUCAAUUAUUUUGACUGUGAUGCCUUUUUCAGUUCGAGAAACUAAGGCAUCAAAAUGCAUCUUAUCAAAGGGAAAAAACUGGUGGAAGGUUUCCAGAAGGCCCCUGUCUAUGCCCCUUUCCCUCUGGCUCCAACAUUUCGUAAACGACUUGGUGUUUGUGUGUGUGCGGUAAGAGAAAAGGUAGGAAAAUAGCUCUAGGGGAACGAGGAUAUCAUCUCAGGGCCUGUUUUACUCUUUAACCUGAUAAUAAAUCUCUUUAAAGCUCCCAAGGUAUUCGGAAUAUCCUGUCCAUGGCAAGGUCUUCGCACUGUCGUGAAAGAAAUUCAAGUUUAAUAGGUGGACUGAGCGUUGAGAUCCCAAAGGCACAGCCUUGCCCUUUCCGACCAUUUGUUAAUUAUGAGGCUAAAUCUGCGAAUUCUCUCAGAUGGGUAUGCUGAAUAAUAGGAGGGAGAGUGCGGGAAGAGGCAGGACCGUACCGAGAAAAGCUCGGCAGUUCCAGAACUCAGCACAACAAUCAAAGGAUAAAGUGGUAAUUAGGCCUGAUUAUCAUGCAAGGCAGCCCCGGUUAAAUUGGAAUGUAGCCGGAGAGACGAAAGGCUGGUUGGAGAGUUUGCUAUGCAGGAGACGUGCUUUGAUGUCUGCAGGGAAGGUUGUGUUUCAUUCAGCCUUCCAACCAAAAAAAUGUUGCAGGAGCAAUAUGAAACCUUCUAAGAUGCAGCAGACGGCAAGCAGAAGUGGAGAGCAAGUGGCUGGGUCCGAGUUCUCCCGUUCUUAG
rnacentral:lncRNA from 1 species